CGUCCAUAUUGUAAGACGAAAAGUCCCCAUUGAGCUUUACUAAAGACUUAUAUGGCUCGAAUAACUUAAAUAAAAAGUUUAGAUAAUGUGGGAUCUGUUUUUGGUUAAUGAGACACCACUCUUUUAUUUUAAGAGAACUAACCUUAUAGGGAGAAUGUAAGUUAGAUAGUUUGGUUGGGGCGACCACCUUUUAAAAGGUAACGAAGGUGAGCUUAAGGUCCGUAGUUAAUAGCUAGAGGCCUGACUGCAAGGGGGACAUCCCGAGCAGACACAUCCUUAAGGAUGUGGGUUAUAGUGACCCGUCAUCUUAGA
rnacentral:rRNA from 1 species